AGAGUUUGAUCCUGGCUCAGGAUGAACGCUAGCGGCAGGCUUAACACAUGCAAGUCGAGGGGCAGCGGGGAGGAAGCUUGCUUUCUCCGCCGGCGACCGGCGCACGGGUGAGUAACACGUAUGCAACCUGCCCCUGUCAGGGGGACAACCCGCCGAAAGGCGGGCUAAACCCGCGUACAUGCCACCGGGGCAUCCCGGAGGCAGGAAAGGCUUCGGCCGGACAGGGAUGGGCAUGCGGCGCAUUAGGCAGUAGGCGGGGUAACGGCCCACCUAACCGACGAUGCGUAGGGGUUCUGAGAGGAAGGUCCCCCACACUGGUACUGAGACACGGACCAGACUCCUACGGGAGGCAGCAGUGAGGAAUAUUGGUCAAUGGUCGGGAGACUGAACCAGCCAAGCCGCGUGAGGGAUGAAGGUACAGAGUAUCGUAAACCUCUUUUGUCAGGGAACAAAGGCGGGGACGCGUCCCCGGAUGAGUGUACCUGAAGAAAAAGCAUCGGCUAACUCCGUGCCAGCAGCCGCGGUAAUACGGAGGAUGCGAGCGUUAUCCGGAUUUAUUGGGUUUAAAGGGUGCGCAGGCGGUCUGUUAAGUCAGCGGUCAAAGCCCGGGGCUCAACCCCGGCCCGCCGUUGAAACUGGCAGUCUCGAGUUGGAGAGAAGUAUGCGGAAUGCGCGGUGUAGCGGUGAAAUGCAUAGAUAUCGCGCAGAACUCCGAUUGCGAAGGCAGCAUGCCGGCUCCACACUGACGCUGAGGCACGAAAGCGUGGGUAUCGAACAGGAUUAGAUACCCUGGUAGUCCACGCAGUAAACGAUGAAUGCUGGCUGUCCGGGGGGAUUGACCCCUGGGUGGCGAAGCGAAAGCGAUAAGCAUUCCACCUGGGGAGUACGCCGGCAACGGUGAAACUCAAAGGAAUUGACGGGGGCCCGCACAAGCGGAGGAACAUGUGGUUUUAUUCGAUGAUACGCGAGGAACCUUACCCGGGCUCAAACGGGGAGUGACUCAGGCAGAGACGCCUGUUUCCCACGGGACACUCCCCGAGGUGCUGCAUGGUUGUCGUCAGCUCGUGCCGUGAGGUGUCGGCUUAAGUGCCAUAACGAGCGCAACCCCCGCGUGCAGUUGCUAACAGAUAACGCUGAGGACUCUGCACGGACUGCCGGCGCAAGCCGCGAGGAAGGCGGGGAUGACGUCGAAUCAGCACGGCCCUUACGUCCGGGGCGACACACGUGUUACAAUGGGUGGUACAGCGGGAAGCCAGGCGGCGACGCCGAGCGGAACCCGAAAUCCACUCUCAGUUCGGAUCGGAGUCUGCAACCCGACUCCGUGAAGCUGGAUUCGCUAGUAAUCGCGCAUCAGCCAUGGCGCGGUGAAUACGUUCCCGGGCCUUGCACACACCGCCC
rnacentral:rRNA from 1 species